UCCCUGGUUGAUCCUGCCAGUAGUCAUAUGCUUGUCUCAAAGAUUAAGCCAUGCAUGUCUAAGUACAUACCGAAUUAAGGUGAAACCGCGAAUGGCUCAUUAAAUCAGUUUUGGUUUCUUAGAUCGUACAACAAUUUACUUGGAUAACUGUGGUAAUUCUAGAGCUAAUACAUGCAAACCAGAAUUCCACCCAGAGAUGGGAGGAAUGCUUUUAUUAGAUCAAAACCAAUCGAUGUGGUGGACGGUUCGUCCGUCUUCCCAUCGUCAGCUAUGAUGAUUCUGAAUAACUUUGUGCUGAUCGUACGGUUUUCUAGCACCGACGACGGAUCUUUCAAAUGACUGCCUUAUCAACUGUCGAUGGUAGGUUCUACGCCUACUAUGGUUGUAACGGGUAACGGGAAAUCAGGGUUCGAUUCCGGAGAGGGAGCCUGAGAAACGGCUACCACAUCCAAGGAAGGCAGUAGGCGCGCAAAUUACCCACUCCCGGCACGGGGAGGUAGUGACGAAAAAUAACGAUACGGGACUCGUCCGAGGCCCCGUAAUCGGAAUAAGUAACUCCAGCUCCAAUAGCGUAUAUUAAAGUUGUUGCGGUUAAAAGGCUCGUAGUUGAAUCUAUGUGUCGCUGUGUCGGUUCACCGCUUGCGGUGUUUAACUGGCAUAAUGCGAUACGUCCUACCAUUGGGUUUAGCUUCUCUUCGGAGUUGCGGCCCAAGUUAAGCAUCCCAUCGUGGUGCUCUUCGCUGAGUGUCGAGGUAGCUGGUAUGAUUACUUUGAACAAAUUAAAAUGCUUAAAGCAGGCUACCUUCGCCUUUGUAUUCUGUACAUGGAAUAAUGGAAUAGGACCUCGAUUCUAUUUUGUUGUUUUUUGGAGCCCCGAGAUAAUGGUUAUGUGGGAGUGUAUUGUAUUUUAUGUUUGAUUAGUUGUAGAAUUUUUGUAUAGUUUGACAAUCGUUGUGAAAUUGUAUAUAUGGCUGCAAGUGUAAAUGACGAUUUAUGAAAGGAACAAGUGGUUGCCAGCGUUUUGAAUAAGUGUUGUUGUUAAUUCAGUUUAGAAACGGAAGUUGAACGGUCCUGACGUGCGAAACACUGCGAAAUACGAAUUAUAAGAUUCUACAUUUUACGAUUUUACGACGUUCACAAGUUCAAUACUUAUUGUGUUUUUGUGUUCUUAUUGUGAGUUUAUUGUUGCUGUGUUCUCUUAAAUAAAAGGAUAGUUCUAAAAAUUCUAUUCCCACAGUUAAUAGGGACGGAUGGUGACAAACUUCACCAGGCCCGGACACCGGAAGGAUCGAAAGAUUGAUAGCUCUUUCUUGAUUCGUUGGGUGGUGGUGCAUGGAAGUUCUUAAUUGGUGCAGCGAUUUGUCUGGUUAAUUCCGAUAGCCAACGAGACUCUGGCCUGUUAAAGAGACGUAAAUUAUGGUAUCUUGAAGGCCCCCGGCUUCGGCCGGUGUGGUUUUAACUACCAACGGACAAUCAAAUCUUCUUAGAGGGACAAGCAGCUUUUUGACGCUUGGAGAUUGAGCAAUAACAGAUCUGUGAUGCCCUUAGAUGUUCUGGGCCGCACGCGUGCUACACUGAAGAAAUCAACGUGUUUUCCCUGGCCGAAAGGUCCGAGCAACACACUGAACCGCCUUCGUGCUACGAAUUGGGGCUUGAAAUUGUUCGUCAUGAACGAGGAAUUCCCAGUAAACGUGAGUCAAAAGCUCGCGUUAAUUACUUCCCAGCCAUUUGUACAUACCGCCCGUCGCUACUGCCGAUUGAAUGAUUUAGUGAGGUCUUCGGACUGGUGCGCGGCAAUGUCUCGGCAUUGCCUAUGUUACCGGAAAAAUAUCCAAACUUGAUUAUUUAGAGGAAGUAAAAGUUGUAACAAUGUUUCCGUAGGUGAACCUGCGGAAGGAUCAUUA
rnacentral:rRNA from 15 species